AAGCAAUGCCUUGAGUUUUUUCUAGGGUAGCUCUCUUUCCUCUUACUUUAACUUUCAGACAUUAAAAUAGGCUAGAGUAAGUGAUAGCAUAGAAAGUGUUACUCUAUUCAUUUACCUCCCAGCCAACCCUG
ensembl:snoRNA